rnacentral:rRNA from 1 species
ACAGAGGUGGCAAGCGUUGUUCGGAAUUAUUGGGCGUAAAACGUGCGCAGGCGGAUUGUUAAGCAAGACGUGAAAUCCCCGGGCUUAACCUGGGAAUGGCGUCUUGAACUGGCAGUCUAGAGUGCGUCAGAGGGGGGUGGAAUUCCACGUGUAGCAGUGAAAUGCGUAGAGAUGUGGAGGAACACCGAUGGCGAAGGCAGCCCCCUGGGAUGACACUGACGCUCAUGUACGAAAGCGUGGGUAGCAAACAG